UACGGAGGGGACUAGCGUUGUUCGGAAUUACUGGGCGUAAAGCGUGCGCAGGCGGUUGUGCAAGACAGAUGUGAAAUCCCCGGGCUCAACCUGGGAACUGCAUUUGUGACUGCACAGCUUGAGUGCGGCAGAGGGGGAUGGAAUUCCGCGUGUAGCAGUGAAAUGCGUAGAUAUGCGGAGGAACACCGAUGGCGAAGGCAAUCCCCUGGGCCUGCACUGACGCUCAUGCACGAAAGCGUGGGGAGCAAACAGG
rnacentral:rRNA from 1 species